rnacentral:tRNA from 1 species
UCUCUGGUGGUCCAGUGGUUAGGACUCAUUGGUUGCACUGCCGUGGCCCAGGUUCAAUCCCUGGUUGGGGAA